AUAUAUGCCGGUUCCAACCCCACCUCGGAGAUGAGGAACUCUGAGGUGCGCCGUAGCCUACCACCUAAACGCCUUCUUCAUGUACUCCACUUUGGCGGCGAUCUUCUCCUCGCUGAGAAAUGCGAUGGCAUGCAGCGCGUGCCUGAACAUCGCGGAUCCACGGGGCACACCGAGACCUUGAGCACAUGCCACCAUCACCUGAAUGCGCUCCAGAGUGGUGGUCAGCAUCCAUGACACAGAGGUGCACAGCUUGGCAAUAUCGCAAUCACCUAG
rnacentral:rRNA from 1 species